GACGAACGCUGGCGGCGUGCUUAACACAUGCAAGUCGAACGGAAAGGCCCUGCUUUUGUGGGGUGCCGGGGUGGGGAACGGGGGAGGAACACGUGUGUAACCGGCCCUUGAUUUUGGGGGAAGUUAAGGAAACUGGGGUUAAGACCGUAUAGGAGCCCAUCUUGCAGGGGGGGGGUUGGAAAUUUGCGGCGGUUGGGGUUGGAUGCGCGGCUGAUCAGCUAGUUGGUGGGGGAGUGGCUUACCAAGGCUUUGACGGGUAGCCGGCCUGAGUGGGUGACCGGCCACAUUGGGACUGAGAUACGGCCCAGACUCCUACGGGAGGCAGCAGGGGGGAAUAUUGCACAAUGGGCGGAAGCCUGAUGCAGCAACGCCGCGUGCGGGAUGACGGCUUUCGGGUUGUAAACCGCUUUCGCCUGUGACGAAGCGUGAGUGACGGUAAUGGGUAAAGAAGCACCGGCUAACUACGUG
rnacentral:rRNA from 1 species